rnacentral:snRNA from 1 species
GUGCUCGCUUUGGCAGCACAUAUACUAAAACUGGAACGAUACAGAGAAGAUUAGCAUGGCCCUUGCGCAAGGAUGACACGCAAAUUCAUGAAGCAUUUCAUAUAUUU